AUUGAACGCUGGCGGCAGGCCUAACACAUGCAAGUCGAGCGGAUGAAGGGAGCUUGCUCCUGGAUUCAGCGGCGGACGGGUGAGUAAUGCCUAGGAAUCUGCCUGGUAGUGGGGGAUAACGUCCUGAAACGGGCGCUAAUACCGCCUACUUCCUGCGGCAGCUGCAGGGUGGUCUUUGGACCUCUCCGUCUCUUAGGAGCGUAGGUCGGAUUAGCUAGUUGGUGGGGUAAAGGCCUCCCAAGCCGACGAUCCGUAACUGGUCUGAGAGGAUGAUCAGUCACAUGGGAACUGAGACACGGUCCAGACUCCUACGGGAGGCAGCAGUGGGGAAUAGUGGACAAUGGGCGAAAGCCUGAUCCAGCCGUGCCGCGUGUGUGAAGAAGGUCUUCGGAUUGGAAAGCACGUUAAGUUGGGAGGAAGGGCAGUAAGUUAAUACCUUGCUGUUUUGACGUUACCAACAGAAUAAGCACCGGCUAACUUCGUG
rnacentral:rRNA from 1 species